GAUGAACGCUAGCGGCAGGCUUAAUACAUGCAAGUCGUGGGGCAGCAGGGUUGUAGCAAUACAAUCGCUGGCGACCGGCAAACGGGUGCGUAACACGUACGCAACCUUCCCGUUACUGUGGCAUAGCCCAGGGAAACUUGGAUUAAUACCACAUAUUAUAUUGAGGGGGCAUCCCUUUGAUAUCAAAGCUUCGGCGGUAACGGAUGGGCGUGCGGUUGAUUAGGUAGUUGGCGGGGUAACGGCCCACCAAGCCUACGAUCAAUAGCUGAUGUGAGAGCAUGAUCAGCCACACGGGCACUGAGACACGGGCCCGACUCCUACGGGAGGCAGCAGUAAGGAAUAUUGGGCAAUGGACGAAAGUCUGACCCAGCCAUGCCGCGUGAAGGAUUAAGGUCCUCUGGAUUGUAAACUUCUUUUCUCUGGGGCGAAAACCAGCUAUUCUUAGCUAUUUGACAGUACCAGAGGAAUAAGCACCGGCUAACUUCGUGCCAGCAGCCGCCGUAAUAC
rnacentral:rRNA from 1 species